rnacentral:sRNA from 2 species
UUGUGUUCUAGGCUUUGGUCGAUGGACCUUGCACUCAAGUGAGGAGACAGGCCAUGCCUUUCAAGUGCAUGCAGCUCACUGAUUUCAUCCUCAAGUUUCCGCACAGUGCCCGCCAGAAGUAUGUCCGACAAGCCUGGCAGAAGGCAGACAUCAAUACAAAAUGGGCAGCC